ensembl:lncRNA PMS2P4 PMS1 homolog 2, mismatch repair system component pseudogene 4
AGGAGGCGGGGCGCCUGUGGGAGUCGUGGAGGGAACUUUCCCAGGCCCCGAGGCGGAUCGGGUAUUGAGUCCAUGGAGCGAGCUGAGAGCUAGAGUACAGAACCUGCUAAGGCCAUCAAACCUAUCGAUCGGAAGUCAGUCCAUCAGAUUUGCUCUGGGCCGGUGGUACUGAGUCUAAGCACUGCGGUGAAGGAGUUAGUAGAAAACAGUCUGGAUGCUGGUGCCACCAAUAUUGCGAUGUCACCAUUUCUACCUGCCACGCAUCGGCGAAGGUUGGGACUCGACUGGUGUUUGAUCACGAUGGGAAAAUCAUCCAGAAAACCCCCUACCCCCACCCCAGAGGGACCACAGUCAGCGUGAAGCAGUUAUUUUCUACACUACCUGUGCACCAUAAGGAAUUUCAAAGGAAUAUUAAGAAGACGUGCCUGUUUCCCCUUCGCCUUCUGCCGUGAUUGUCAGUUUCCUGAGGCCUCCCCAGCCAUGCUUCCUGUACAGCCUGCAGAACUGACUCCUAGAAGGACCCCACCCCCCUCCCCCAACCCCUGCUCCCAGGAGGACACGUGAUCACUGUAUUCAGCUCCAUCAAGAAUGGUCCAGGUUCUUCUAGAUGAUCUGCACAAAUGGUUCCUCUUCUCCUUCCUGGUGUCUGCCAUUAGCAUUGGAAUAAAGUUCCUGCUGAAAAUCCACA